rnacentral:rRNA from 1 species
UACGUAGGGGGCAAGCGUUAUCCGGAAUCAUUGGGCGUAAAGCGCGUGUAGGCGGUUCCGUAAGUCCGCUCUGAAAGCCCAGGGCUCAACCCUGGGAGGCGGGUGGAUACUACGGAACUGGAGUACGGAAGAGGAGAUUGGAAUUCCUGGUGUAGCGGUGAAAAUGCGCAGAUAUCAGGAGGAACACCAACAGCGAAGGCAGAUCUCUGGGACGUUACUGACGCUGAGACGCGAAAGCGUGGGGAGCAAACAGG